rnacentral:tRNA from 1 species
GCUCCAGUGGCGCAAUUGGUUAGUGCAUGGUGCUGAUAAUGCCGAGGUCGUGAGUUCAAAUCUCACCUGGAGUG